UACGUAGGGUGCAAGCGUUAAUCGGAAUUACUGGGCGUAAAGCGUGCGUAGGUGGUUUCUUAAGUCUGCUGUGAAAGCCCUGGGCUCAACCUGGGAAUGGCGGUGGAUACUGAGGAGCUAGAGUGCGGUAGAGGAGGGUGGAAUUCCCGGUGUAGCGGUGAAAUGCGUAGAGAUCGGGAGGAACAUCAGUGGCGAAGGCGGCUUCCUGGCCUGUUCUUGACGCUGAGGCGCGAAAGCUAGGGGAGCAAACGGG
rnacentral:rRNA from 1 species